GUUUUUCGCAGGCGGGUGAAUCUACCAUCAGGCAGGCCAUUGGGCCGCCUGCAAAAAUCAUUUAUUUUCGCAGGCCUUUGCUUCUAGACGGCAUCAGGAACAUCUGCUCGCCAUGCAGGAAGCAGAAAUGUAAUUUAGCAGAGGAUUAUUGCGAGCUGUAGUGAUGCAAAGGACAGAGCUGGAAUGGCCUUAGUAGCACUCUUCAAAAUGUGCCACCUAGAAAGAAAUAGGGCAUAUCGACUGCUCCAUCUGGAUCAGUAUCAUCGCUAUGAGGCAGGAGUGGAAGCCCGAGAUCCCUAUGUAAGAAUAUGAAGAAAGAUGACGAUCUGCUAAAACCUAGAGACGCGAGCGUGAUCAAACUAGUUGUUCUAGCCAGCUGAGGCUAUCAGCUUCUAAUCAUGACCAUGAAUUAACAUCAAGGCAUGUAUUAAACUUAAUUGGAAUCGAUAUCGUAAUUCUUACUUUUGCCUUA